UACGUAGGUGGCAAGCGUUGUCCGGAUUUACUGGGCGUAAAGAGCGCGCAGGCGGUCGUUUAAGUCGAAUGUGAAAGCCCCCGGCUCAACUGGGGAGGGUCAUUCGAUACUGAUCGACUCGAAGGCAGGAGAGAGAAGUGGAAUUCCACGUGUAGCAGUGAAAUGCGUAGAGAUGUGGAGGAACACCGAUGGCGAAGGCAGCCCCCUGGGUCAAGAUUGACGCUCAUGCACGAAAGCGUGGGGAGCAAACAGG
rnacentral:rRNA from 1 species